rnacentral:rRNA from 1 species
CCUACGGGUGGCAGCAGUGGGGAAUAUUGGGCAAUGGAGGAAACUCUGACCCAGCAACGCCGCGUGAAGGAUGAAGGUUUUCGGAUUGUAAACCUCUGUCGCGAGGGAUGAAGAAUGACGGUACCUCGUAAGAAAGCCCCGGCAAACUACGUGCCAGCAGCCGCGGUAAUACGUAGGGAGCAAGCGUUAUCCGGAUUUACUGGGUGUAAAGGGCGUGUAGGCGGGCAUGCAAGACAGAAGUGAAAUCCGGGGGCUUAACCUCCGAACUGCUUUUGGAACUGCGUGUCUUGAGUGAUGGAGAGGCAUGCGGAAUGCCCAGUGUAGCGGUGAAAGGCGUAGAUAUUGGGAAGAACACCAGUGGCGAAGGCGGCCUGCUGGACAUUAACUGACGCUGAGGCGCGAAAGCGUGGGGAGCAAACAGGAUUAGAUACCCUUGUAGUC